GGAGUGGACCGGAUGGUCGCCGGCCGGACGUCCACCGGAGGCUGAUGCGUUGGCCUCGGACGCCGGCGGGAGGAAAGUCCGGGCUCCGCAGGGCAGGGCGAUGGGUAACUCCCACCGGCCGUGAGGCCAGGGAAAGUGCAACAGAAAGCAAACCGCCUCGCCGGCUUGUCCGGCAGGUAAGGGUGAAACGGUGAGGUAAGAGCUCACCAGCAGGCCGGGUGACCGGUCUGGCUCGGCAAACCCCGCCCGGAGCAAGAUCAAGCAGGGGGAAAAGAGCAGCCCUCCUCCUAAGAGGGGAAGGUGUCCUCGCGCGGCUCGGCCCGGGCCGCCAGUGACCCCCGGGUAGAUCGCUGAAGGGCUCGAGCAAUCGAGUUCUUAGAUAAAUGACCAUCCCUCGCUCGACCCCCUCGGUCGAGCGAGGACAGAACCCGGCUUAUAGGUCCACUCCAGUC
rnacentral:RNase_P_RNA from 1 species